rnacentral:lncRNA from 12 species
AAAUGAAAAUAGCACCAUCUCUAAAUAUACAACAAUGAGAGUCAAGCAUUGCUUUAAAAGGAUGAGAGAACCAAGAAAAACUCCUUAAAUUAUAGCAUCUUCCUUUCAUAAAGUAUACAUAAAUCUAGAAUUUGGCUCCUGGAGCCACUAACCUUGAUAUUUAAUUUAGUCUGCUUGAGACUUUCCAAACUGGCAGUCAAAACUAAUUAAUACACAACUGAGACCACCACCCAGUCAUUCCGGUUUGCCCCUGGAUAUGGGAAAGACGGCAGGCCGACUCUUCCCUAAAAGGCAGCUGUGGAGGAGCAUGGCUGCAGUGUCAAGGGGACAGUCUGCCUGGUUUGGGGCCGACAUGGGAAUGUAGGGCUCAACACAGCAAGCCUCCUCAAGCAUAUCCAUAGCAAGCCUUCUAAGCUUUCAAAAUUCAACUUUGAAAACAAAUCUCAAGCAAAGGAAUCCACAAAGCAAUCCCAGAUGUUUUCAGAAGCAAUGGAGGAGUAUCUAGAGUCAUCAGCUGAUCACCAGAGGAUCUCCUGAACAUCUCUGGUGAGCUGCCUUAUUCCUCUUCCUUAUAUCACUGCCUUUUUUGUAGGCUUGCAUCUUCUCU